GACGAACGCUGGCGGCGUGCUUAACACAUGCAAGUCGAACGGAAAGGCCCUGCUUUUGUGGGGUGCUCGAGUGGCGAACGGGUGAGUAACACGUGAGUAACCUGCCCUUGACUUUGGGAUAACUUCAGGAAACUGGGGCUAAUACCGGAUAGGCGCUCCUGCUGCAUGGUGGGGGUUGGAAAGUUUCGGCGGUUGGGGAUGGACUCGCGGCUUAUCAGCAUGUUGGUGGGGUAGUGGCUUACCAAGGCUUUGACGGGUAGCCGGCCUGAGAGGGUGACCGGCCACAUUGGGACUGAGAUACGGCCCAGACUCCUACGGGAGGCAGCAGUGGGGAAUAUUGCACAAUGGGCGGAAGCCUGAUGCAGCAACGCCGCGUGCGGGAUGACGGCCUUCGGGUUGUAAACCGCUUUCGCCUGUGACGAAGCGUGAGUGACGGUAAUGGGUAAAGAAGCACCGGCUAACUACGUG
rnacentral:rRNA from 1 species